UCCCGCCGCUCUGAGGGGCGGAGAGCGGCCAUCCCUGCAGACCGAGGGCCGGAGAGCGCCCGUCCCGCCAGUCCCGCCGUGCGGGUGAGGAGCUGCUGAGGGCGAGAGGACUGAGCGCAGUGCUACGCAGCGACGGGGCCGAAGCCGAACCAAGGCCUCACCCCCAAGUUAUGGUUGAUUUUAUUUAUUUAUUUAUUUAUUUAUUUAUUUAGUCAGAACUUUAAUUACGGGGUUUUCUUUCUCAUCUCUUCGUGCUCGACUACAUCUUGUUAUGGAGCUACACACGCAUAAAAGUCUUGGAAGACAAAUACUCAUCUUACACUGUCAACUUGGAGUCCACCUCAGAAUUCCUUGGAAACUCUCAGAGACUUUACAAUUAAUCAACAAGAUGCAAGGAUCACCAGGAGGCAAGAAUGCAGUACCAUUGACAUGACACAGAGAAUCCCAUUCUUCAGCAUAAAAAAACAAGGAAGGAGAAUAAAUGGUAGUAUGGAGUUUUUGGAGUUAAAGAGUUGUGAUCCGCUUGUUCAUGCUUCACCUAAAUAAGCAGCUGUAGCCUUUCAUAUCAAAAGGCAGGAUCUUGAGAAUCAGUCAGAAAGGCACUUGGUGAUCACAAGGCAAGUUGUCAUAGGGUGCUUUAUUUACAGAACUGGCUCAGUUUAAGAUACUGCUGCCAGCAUGAUCACCCAUCAAGAUGCUGCUGCUCCUGCAACUCCAAGCAUUGCUGGAGGGUUAAAAGACAAGAAUAUUAUCAUCUCUGUAAUAUUAAAAAAGAAUUUUCAAUAGAAAAUAUUUCAAAGUGAAAUUUUGACUGUAUUACCCUUUUAAAUAUACAGCAUUUUACUACGUGACUUUCUUACCACAGGAGAAUUCCCAGAAUUGUACAAGUGACAGGAUUGAAGCAGAUGACCCAAUGGUCACACUGAGCAUAACAUUUGAAAUUAUUAUAUAUAUAUAUAUUCAAAGUUGUGUUUGUGACAUCUAAAUAGCAAGUUAAAAAAGAUCAGGGGAUGGCACAAUGUGUGAAAGGAAGCUCAACUUUCAUGGUAUUGUCAAGCUGUUUUUUUUCAAUAUCUUAUAAAUGGCUGUCAGAAACAAAUAGAAAGGGCAUUGGAGCUUGAAGAACAUUUUCCAGAUAAUGUUGCUUGAAAAAGACUGGAAGAAAUUCAUCCUGAAAUAAUUGUCACUGAACUAACCUUAAAGAUGAGCUUGAUCUGCUAGGUAUACAGAGAGUAAACAGUGUUGUUUUUGAGUAAGAUGCUAACAAAAUAUUUCCUUUGCUCAGAGAUUGUUGUGGUGUGACUGAUGGGUUGAGUCCUCCCCUUGUGCAUCCC